ACGGAUUUUCCAUCCCUAACCCUAAGCCCCAAUUCCUUUCUCUUCUCUUCCAUUCCAGCGGCGGUAAUGAAGGUGUGUUCAUGGUGGUUCAUACUCCGACGGUGGUUCCAGAUUCGUGCCAACCCGUGAGCUUGCGUGAUGGUGCGAUGUCGUCUUCCCCUUUCCUCCAUCUUCUUCACCUUUCCUUCUUCCUUCGUUCCAGCGGCAACGACAACGUAGGGAGGCGACGAGGAGGGUUCAUCCAUGGUUGGAACUGAGAUGGUUAGGGAGACACAGUGAUGACAAAGCCUCGAGGCCACCAUCCUUUGUCAUCCUCGGUGGUUCACCACCGCGAUCACCGCUACGUCAAGGACAGGUAAAGUAUCAUGUCCCUUGAAUGCAAGAUGUUUUUUCUAUUUACUGUUUAUACCAAUUGGUGAAUUGAACUCAAAGUUCUUAACGGUGUGUUGUUGUUUUUUAUUUACUUAUUCUAUGUUCUCGUGUUUUACCUUUCAUCUUACAGAUUGCUUAAAUAAAAAAAAGACUUAGCAUGCAGUAAAUGGAUGAUGUGUUUUCUUGCUGAAGAGAAAAUAUUGCAAAAGGUCUCUGUUUUUAUUUAUUUUGUAAUACCAGACUUACCGAUGUUAACGACUAACACAAGUUCCAAAUGUUUAUGGCAUGAGUAGCAUUGGAAAACAAAACAACGUACAUAAGGAUUUACAAACCAUGAAAUAAUUGUCAUUUAUGAUGAUUGAAAUUGUAGUAUGUGUAACUGAAAUGAUGGCAAUUUUUGUUCUUCCAGGAAUGCACUUUGCUAUCUCUGCCCAUCUAUUUCCACAUUCUCCCCUAAACCUUGGACAUCUUCAUUCUGACGCAACAUAGGGGACUGGUGUGACCAAUUCAAAGCUUCUUCAUUUGUUAUGAAUUCAAGCAAACCUAAUAUGUUGAAACACCAUCACAGCAAGUAAACCUAUAGAACGCGCUCGUCAUCAAAAUCACUUGCAUGAGUGUUCUUUGCAACAUUAAUAUGGGGCUGAUGUUGUUGCUUAUGAGGAAAGUGGCUUUGUUGACUCCAUAAGAACGUGUCUAUGGCUGUCAAAGAAGAACCUGACCUAAGCAUAGAAGAGUUUAUAUCCUUCAUACUUCACUCUCAUGAAUUAGAAUUUCACUAAAGCCAUUGACGUGUCUAGAAUUUUAUUGACAAUGUAUAUUGUAAUGUUGUAAAUGUUACGUAGAAUUUGUGAUACGAAGUAUGUUGCCAAUCUUCGUUUCUUCUAAUGAGGAUGGGUUUGGAAAAUUUUGAUU
rnacentral:lncRNA from 1 species